UUGGCUUACGUACGGGCAACCUCUGCCUGC
rnacentral:piRNA from 1 species